UACAGAGGAGCCAAGCGUUGUCCGGAUUGACUGGGCGUAAAGCGCACGCAGGCGGACGCGCGCGUGGGGUGUGAAAUCUGGCCGCUUAACGGCCAGGGGCCAUCCCAUACGGCGGGUCUGGAGCGAUGCAGAGGGCGGUGGAAUUGCCGGUGUAGUGGUGAAAUGCGUAGAUAUCUGGAGGAAUACCGGUGGCGAAGGCGGCAUCCUGGACCGGCAUUGACGCUGAGGAGCGAAAGCCAGGGGAGCAAACGGG
rnacentral:rRNA from 1 species